AAGACCUUGCGCUUUUGGAGCGGCCGAUGCCUGAUUAGCUUGUUGGUAAGGUAAAAGCUUACCAAGGCUUCGAUCAGUAGCUGGUCUGAGAGGACGGCCAGCCACACUGGGACUGAGACACGGCCCAGACUCCCACGGGAGGCAGCAGUGGGGAAUUUUGGACAAUGGGGGCAACCCUGAUCCAGCCAUGCCGCGUGAGUGAAGAAGGCCUUCGGGUUGUAAAGCUCUUUCAGCCGGAACGAAACGGUUACGGUUAAUACCCGUGAUUACUGACGGUACCGGAAGAAGAAGCACCGGCUAACUACGUGCCAGCAGCCGCGGUAAUACGUAGGGUGCGAGCGUUAAUCGGAAUUACUGGGCGUAAAGCGUGCGCAGGUGGUUUUGUAAGUCAGAUGUGAAAGCCCCGGGCUCAACCUGGGAACU
rnacentral:rRNA from 1 species